UUCCAGUGAACAGAUUAAUAAAAGACAGACUGAAGUACAAACGAUUUGUGAAAUGGAUUGGGGGAAGGAAUAAAGGAAGCCACACAAUGGUCUGGAAGCUGCAGAGCAAGAAUUGCCAGCAAACUGAAAAAUCUGUUAUCCAGCCAGCUCUAGCAUUCAGUACAUUGCUGCCUGGAUUUGUUGGAGGCUAAAAUGAGGAGUAAAGAUAUCAGGGCAAUAAGGUAACAUGAGGAGCUUUCUAGGUGUUGGAACCAAGCAGUAGCCAAGCCUUGAGGCAGAAAAUCCCCAAGUCGGAAUUCCAGGUACAUCCUCUAUUCUAACAGAGAUGCAGAAUGGCCGGGAGAGAGAUCAGCGGGCACAUCGCGAGCUG